AUUAAUAAACAAUCACCUUUCUUUAAUGUUUAUUCAUUUCGUUCGUGUAUAUUUUAGAAAUUAAGAAAUGAAAACUGUAACUGAACUAAGUUCAAUUUUCGUAUCGUUUAUAUGCCUUACGGAAAACCGACCUUUUCCGGAAUCGACUUUUGUUUUAUCACUGGAAAUGAUUUUGAAAUUUGAAUUUCGAAACGAAGACAGAUAUCAACAAAGAGAGCCAAGAAAUUGUUUGUUACGCGAUAUAUACUCACUUGGAGCUAAAAGAAAAGUCACAAAGGACAAGUUCAAUAUGCAGGUUUACAAUUUGGAAGUGGCGCAGGUUCUUUGGAAUGUCUACAACCUUUCAGGAGAAUUUUUUUUUGACAAGCAUGGCACAGCAAGAAAAAGAUAUGACACACUACACAUGCUACAAGACAUUCCAAGUGAUUUUGAAUAAGACAAUUGAUUGACUUUUUCAAUGUAUUCUUAAAUAAAUCAAAUAGUUGAUGUAAAA